rnacentral:rRNA from 1 species
CCAGAAGCGGGCGACCCAAAGAAUAAGCUAGACCACUGUUAGUUCUUUCGAGGUAGGUGCUUGGUGAGCGGGGUGACGAUCUGUACCUAGGGCGGCGGCCGCUCUUCGGCGUGCGGCACACGGACGGCAAGGGCCGCGUCCCCGUGUAGUGCGGCUACUACUUCGACCGGUUCCAGGAGGUGACGUCCCCGAAGGUGCAGUGGAAGCAGUCGUGGCUCAUGUUGGUGGCGGCGGAGCAGGCGAGGGCGCCGGGCUCGCGGCGGCGCCCGGAGGGGCCGAAGCAGAAGCGGUGGUAGGGGCUGCCGGACGGGAGCAGCCUGCGGCUGCGGUGCGUCCUGGGCCGCAGCGAGAGGAUGAGGUGGUACUGGUGGACGGAGGGGGUGAAGUUCUUGGACGAGCGACCGGAGUUGCCGUCGCGCAGGCCCCACGGCGGCCAGUGCACGCAGCACCGCCUGCCGGAGUACUCGAAGCGGCACCUGCGGCGCUCCCUCGAGCCGCACGGCACGCGCGAGAAAACCUGCCGGUCGCGGACGCCGAUGUACCCGAUGGCGUUGAAGGCGGGAGAGUAGCUGGCUCCGUAGUAAGGGGAGUUUCUGCUUCUCGUCGACUGGUUGCCCAAGUACCUGUACCGCCAUCUGACCCGCGGGCCCGACUCGUUCGUGUACGCCGAGUUCCUGAAGGGCUGGAAGGAGGCGUGCUGCCUGGCGCUGCUGUGGGACGACUGGAAGGUCGAUGUGGUUCACCUCGCGCGGCUCCGCCGGCUGCGGCAGUAGUAGUUGUGGUACCUGCUCGAGCUCGUCGGCCGCGACCUGCGGUACGCGCGGUAGUAUGGCCGGUAGAUGUGGUAGCCGGGCGAGUUGAGGGAGCGGCUGGUUUAGCAGGGGGCGCCCCUGGGCGACGCGUGCCACUCGAGGUCGGAGACCUUUCUCCUGCUGCAGACGGACGUCACCGAGCUGCCGUUCUCCCGGGCGAGGCACCACAUGCACUUGAAGCCCUCGCACUGGCACUACUCGUCGGUGCUCGACCGCCUCAAGCGCACCCCCGACCGGUUGUCGCCGGUCCUCAAGGAGACCUAGCAGUCCGGCCUGCAGCACUUCUCGUCGCUCCGGCGGCCGCGGCGCGACGGGGGGCCCAAGGACCUCCGCUGGUCCCUGUCCCCGGAGCACCGUUCGACCACGCUGGUCCUCCGCCACGACGCCGUGCUGCGGCACACGCGCAAGGACUGCGUGUCGCCCACCUUGAGCUGCCACCUCCGGGAGACGCCGCCGCACGGCUACGACACGACCGGGAAGAAGCGCCUAGUCGUCUGGUUGACGGCCAUGUUUACGCGGCUCACCCCCCACCGCUACCUCUAGCCGCUGUUGCACGCCGCCCUCCACCAGGUCGCCUCCUAGCUCCUCCGCCACCCGCCCCUCUUCCCGCCCCUCUACUCCUUCUCUCGCUGGCUCACCUCCCUCCGCCGACAGGCCAGGUGCCGCUCUAGCAACUGGAUAGAACUAAGCGAGUAGGUACCACACAACGAUAGACCGUUCUUACCAAUCGAAGAGAAAAGAAAGGUACUAGCCCUGUGGUUUUAAAAUCUUAAAAAAUAAAAAGGAUCAUAGAUAAAAAUUAAAGUGAUAAGUAUAUUCCACGUGCCGUGAGGAUACGUAAAAGCCCAAACGUGCGAGGAUUGUUUAACCUACCUACCUACAUAGCUUUACCCUAAGCG